rnacentral:lncRNA from 1 species
CUCCCAUUCCGUCCAUAAAUAGUUUCAAUUCAAAACAUAAUUCAUUCUUUUCUAAGAAUCAAACUUCAAACUUAAAACAUACUCACUUUCUUAAUAACUCAAAAUCAAACUAUAUAACAUUUAAAUCUAAAUCUCUUUUAAAUAAUCAUCUAAAUAAAAUCUCUAAUUUUUUUUUAUAAAAUUUCGGCAGCAUCUCCUCUAAAACUCGGACUUUGCCACCCUUUUCGGGUCCAAACCUGCUUUCUUUUCAAUUCAACAUACCCUUCCUCAUCAUCAUAACAAUCACCACAAUAAAUCUACUUCAAUUCAACAAUUAAACUCAUACAAUAUUCAAAUCCAACAACCAAAAUUCAACUAAGAAUCAUAGUUCACAAAUCCUAGGCUUUUAACACAAAUACCUCAAAUCAAUAAUUCACCAAAUCGUUAGUUAAUAACUAAUUAUCCAAUAAACUUCAACCAAAUAUAUAUAUUCAUCGACAAAUUACUAAACAUUAAGCAUACACCUGCAUUCCAACUUAUCCUAUGGUCA